CGAAAGCUUAGGCUGGUCUGUAUUGAUGCUUUAAAGAGAUAUAGAAAUAAGACUGGACAGAGAAUGGGUGGAAGAACAGAGUUCAUCGUAAUAGAUGAAAGCAACUUCCGCCAUAAAAGGAAGUAUGCACGUGGAAGAAUAAGUGAAACAUGGAAAAGGAAAAAGUGGGUGUUCGGCAUGCUGGCCAUAAAGGCUCAGAGACGGCGACCGAUUUUGCGACUUGUAAAACGGCGUUCAAGACAUCGCCUCAUUCCUAUCAUCAGAAGACAUGUUCGCCCAGGAUCCAAAAUUUUAAGUGAUGAUUGGAGGCCUUACAGGUCUUUGAGUAGGCUGGGCUUCUCACACUACUCAGUGAAUCACAGCAGGUUCUUUGUGAACCCAAACCAUGGAGGGCACACACAACAUAUCGAAAGAGCUUGGUCUACAUACAAAGGACAGAUAUGGAGGUUGAGAGGCAACAAGACUGAGAAGCUCUUGAAGGAGCACUUAGCUUGUAUUGAAUGGACUUUUUGGAUGGGGAUGGAUCACACACAUGGUCCUCUGGGGCGGUUGAUGAAGGAUAUUAGAAAGUAUUACUGCCUUUAAGGUUUUCCUCAAAUACUGUAAUUCAUUGCAUCGUUUAGAAUGACAUGCUUAUUGACCUUUGCCAGAAAAAAAAAAGUAACAUGAAUUAGAUGUAUUAGAGAACCAUUGGCUGAAAGUUGAAGUUUAAGCAUAUUUGCUGUCUCCUGUUGUUAUAUUUAUUAAGUUUAGUAAUCUGAUGUAA